rnacentral:rRNA from 1 species
UACGUAGGUGGCAAGCGUUGUCCGGAUUUAUUGGGCGUAAAGCGAGCGCAGGCGGUUCUUUAAGUCUGAUGUGAAAGCCCUCGGCUCAACCGGGGAGGGUCAUUGGAAACUGGGAAACUUGAGUGCAGAAGAGGAGAGUGGAAUUCCACGUGUAGCGGUGAAAUGCGUAGAGAUGUGGAGGAACACCAGUGGCGAAGGCGACUCUCUGGUCUGUAACUGACGCUGAGGAGCGAAAGCGUGGGGAGCGAACAGG